UGUCUCUACACGUUUUUACAUGGACUGACCACAAAAGUUUUUUAAUUUUUUUUAUGAGCGGUACUAAACUGGCCUACAUGUAAUUCUUGUGAGAUGACGUGAUCAACUAAUUUACAGGCCAUAUCGAAAUUAUGUGCUCCGGCCGGCAGACCCCACAACCACCUCUAAUAUUGAUGUCCAAAGAAAUGUGGAACGAAACCAUACAAAAACGAAGAAGAAGAAGAAGAAGAGAUUCGUUUUGAUGCUAUAUCAAUAUAGUCAUACAAAAACGUGGGAGUGAUUCAUCAUUUCCAACUUCUUUUUUAAUUUUUUAAUUUUUAUUUUGGAGAAGCCGUGUGUUUGAUUUUAUUUGAAUAAGCAUGAGGAUUGAUUUGAAUAUGAAUAUUUGAUGUAUCACUGCUAACUGUAGAUGAACAUAACAUUGCUAUACUUAAUGAGCCAUACAGAGGUUAAAAAAGCGCGGGUGCGUUUCGUAAUUUGAAACUGUUUUUGUAGUUGUUGCCGGGGUGUGUGCGUGUUUUUCAAUUAUUAUAAUUUAUAAAUUUCCGGCACCACUCUCUCCAGGAAGAAAUCCUCCGUACGGUAAUGGAGGGUCAACUACAGUCUAAGAGACCAAACCCUAACUUUAAACCGAAAAAGAUAUCAAAUUCAACGAAUGCAAAGAAUAAGAAGAGCGAACUCGAGUUCUGCAGAGUUUGCAACCCAAAUCAGUGAAUCACGACGCAGGGCAGUAACACAAGCACUUCCCAAGUCACUCUCUAAAUUCCAAACCAAGAUCAUGGAAAUUCGGUUCUUCCUGAAGAACCCUACCAUUAUCCGCAACGAACACGUCUUUCGUAUAUGUCUUUGGUGCGUUUUUUGCGAUUCCGAUGUCGACGAGCUCGGCAGCUCCUUUGCUUGGUACGAUAUUCAUUCACUAAUUCCAAAACUGAACACCAGAAUUACUGAAAUAACUUAUUUUCUGCUGGAUUUUAUUGUGUCAGUAAUAAUGCAAUUAACUAGUGUGGUCCAUAUGAAGAAGUUAAAGAACUUUCUGCGGAAAUUUGGCUGUGGAAUGGAUCACGUGGAUGCUUUUAGUUUUAGGAUUUUGGAAACUAAUUUAGUUAAGGUGUUGCGUUAUUCACCGUCUCAUUCAAAAUAGUCACUACAUUCUUGUCGAUUUUCUGAUCAAUGAGAAAUCUUAUCUUCUAUCUGUAAUUAUCUGAAUUUAGAAAAAAAAAAAAAAAAAACCUGAUGAGAACGAUUAAAAAUUUCAUCAAGAAUCUUCAUCUUUAUGUCCGUACUGUUCAAAAAGAGAGAUCAGGAAAUCAAUAAUGAAGAUGUGAAAAAUGCUGUUUCUUUUGAUUGUAAUGGGAGAAGAAGUGCAAAUCAAUGGAGACUGGAGCUGUCUCCUCUAGUGAAGGAUCUCAGGGACCACUUUUGGUCCUUCAAAUGAUAUACUCAGAUUUGAAAAUAUGAAUUACUUUGAAAAGAAUAAUAUUCACACUCUUAAUUCAAAUAUUUCAAAUGGUGUUAUACCUGUACAAUUUCAUACAAAUGAGUACCAGGUGUUACAUUCUGGAUUCUCUGAAGCUGCAAAUACUGGUUAAAAUCUGCAUGCUGUUACCUCUUCCAUGCUUGGAGAUGCUUCCUCUGGUUCAAUUUUAUGGAAUUCAAAUGGUUUGAUGGUUAGCUGGAACAACCUUUUAUAAUGGCACAAGCUGCUCUGGAAAUGUCUACCUCAGUGGAAAAGAGGUAAGUUAGUUCAUCUACACUCUUUUCCUUCUUCUUCUUCUUCUUAUUAUUAUUAUUACUACUACUAUUGUUUUCAAUGCUUUCUGGGUAACUUGUUCUGGCUAAACUGUUGGUAGCCUAUUCUGUUUUCAAGAUUCUUACAUGGUUGCAUUUCACCAUUUUUUUUUUUUUUUGGUAUGCAUUUAUUGCAAGGUUUCUUGCCAAUAUGUAAUAUGUUUCACAUAGGUGUAUCAUGCAUUUCGGGAUGAAAGAGUUUUAAUUGAGAGAUCAAUUCUCUGGGUUUGAAGAAUAUAACUCAAAUUUCUUCUAAGGCUCCAUAAGAGGCUGCUGGAAAUGUAUAUUCUUUGGCACCUUCUCCAUGGUUUGAAGCAUUUGAAGGAGAUCAGCUAAAACAAGUUUUAAGUGGCUUAGUUUCUUUCAUUAAGUCUGGGAAGUUUAAAUUGAACCCAAAAUGAGUGGGAUCUGCUUGGGCAGAAAAUAGAAAGAUGGAGAUGGAAAUGGAGAAGAGAGGAGAGAUGGUUAAGACUUAAGAGUGAUUUUGAUUCUAACUGGCUACCCAAUUUUGGUAGAGUUUGGCAAUUGGGUACUUGGAAGGAAUCUAGAAAGGAAUUUGACAUUGAGAAACAAAAACGAUCAAAAGCUAUAAGUCACACUGAGAUCCCAAUGAAGAUUCAACCUUGUAUCAGCAAAAAAAUGGUGAGCAUUGCAUCCCCGUUUGCUUACUAAUUAAGGUGUAAAUUCUUUUCCUCCUAUGCUCUGAUGAUAUGUGAUGAAGGGAUUUUAUUUUUAUUUCAUACUGCCAUAUUCAAUUGCAUUGCCUGACUUUCCAUGUCUUAGUUAUCCCACUGUUAUGAAGUUUGAGUCACUGUGCUAUUAAGGAGCAAUAUAAUAAUUGGCUUCAGUAGAUUCCUGCACAUCUAACUGAAAUCUAAUGUCCUGCCACUGUUGACCCAGAAUUUAGAUCCAAGAAAUUCUUAAACAGCCAAUUUCUGGAAAUGUGCUCUUUCAUUAAAUAUAAAAUUAGUCUUGUAAUAUGUAAAUUUGUUGCAUGGUAAUUGAGUUUUCUGUUGAACUUAGAGCUUGCUUCUCUUUAGAAUUUUAGCUAGUGUUUGUAAAUGGAUGCAUGUGAACUGGCACAUAUAUGUAUAUUCUGUAUGAGUGCCAUGAAUACAUGGGUACAUCCUGCAGUUUAGAUAUAUAUGCCUAAUUGGAGCUUUAUUGAAUGGUUGACAGUGGUACUUAACUCCAACUUUGAGAUUAUUUCUUUUAACUUUUAAUUGUGCUUAGGGUUUAUGCUAUGAAUUUCUAGGUUGAUGCAUUUUAUAUUUUGCCAACAGAAGAAACUUUUGACAUUAAAGUGAUUGUGCUGAAUGGCAGAGUCAGGUUAGUUGUUAUUGAUUAUAGGUUGAAACAGGAGCAGUUAAGCAAUUGUUUCUACAGAUGCAUCUUGUUAUGAUAUGUUUCAUGUGUAAAACAAAGGGGUGUUGUGAGCAUAACUAACUAAUGUAAUGUUAAUGGUGAUAAAAGUGGUGAAUACAAAUGGUGUUUUUACAGGUUCCAUUCUCAAAGUGUAAUUGUUGAAUGUGCAUUGAUUUAAUAGUUUUAAAUUUUUAUAAAAAUUGAGGUGUCAAUAAUGCUGUAGCAAAUUGUCGUACAUUUUCCGGGAUGGAGUUGUCUUGUUCUUAUAGAGUCAAGCAUGCGUACUGGAGAUUUAGUUAAAUGGGGAUUUAGGAAUAUCACUAUGGCAGUCUCAUAUCAUCUAGUACUUUAUUGCAGGGUUUUACAUCUGACAAACAUAAAUACUAGGUAAUAGUAUUCAACUAGACCCUUGACUGCUGUAAAAAUAAUUAAAACUCCGAAGAUUUAAGACAGAAUUUUCAUUCUAUUAUUUACGCAUUGUAUGUUUUUGGUAUAGUUACUAUCUUUGUAGAUGAUAACACUCUGUGUCCGUUGAGACGUUCUUGU